UACAGAGGGUGCAAGCGUUGUUCGGAAUUAUUGGGCGUAAAGCGCGUGUAGGCGGCUUUGCAAGUCGGGUGUGAAAGCCCUCAGCUCAACUGAGGAAGUGCGCCCGAAACUGCAGAGCUUGAGUGCCGGAGAGGGUGGCGGAAUCCCCCAAGUAGAGGUGAAAUUCGUAGAUAUGGGGAGGAACACCGGUGGCGAAGGCGGCCACCUGGACGGUAACUGACGCUGAGACGCGAAAGCGUGGGUAGCAAACAGG
rnacentral:rRNA from 1 species